UACGAAGGGGGCUAGCGUUGCUCGGAAUCACUGGGCGUAAAGCGCACGUAGGCGGACUCUUAAGUCGGUGGUGAAACUCCUGGAGCUCAACUCCAGAACUGCCUUCGAUACUGAGAGUCUCGAGUCCGGGAGAGGUGAGUGGAACUGCGAGUGUAGAGGUGAAAUUCGUAGAUAUUCGCAAGAACACCGGUGGUGUAGACGGCUCUCUGGACCGUAACUGGACGCUGAGACACGAAAGCGUGGGUAGCAAACAGG
rnacentral:rRNA from 1 species